GAGAGAGACUUGAUCGUAACGACAACUGCUAAUUUUCGCCCUUCUGGUUUAAUUCCAGAACUCACUCG
rnacentral:tRNA from 1 species